AUGGGGAGAACAUGUGUUUAUGUUCAUCAUGUGGAUAAAGAGGCCUUUUUGAAAGGCAAUGUUGAGACGGACCCGGAUGAGCUUGACAUGGUGUUUGAGAGUAGUCUUAGCUAUGCGGAGCUUUUGAAACAAGUGAGGAAAGAUUUGAAUUGGAUGGACCCAAGUGACGUUGUUGAGUUCGAGGGAAGGCAUAAUGUUGGUUUAGGAAUGCACAUCCGCUGGAAGACAAUGCGUGUGAACUCCGAGCAACGUUGGGUUGCAUACAAGAAGACGGUUGCGGAAUCUCUAGACAAGGCUCUUGAGUUAUUCGCCUCCAAGAAGGUUGAGUCUACUUUGAAUUUAGACUUGAACCGGAACCCCUCCCCGUUGGUUGCUAGCACUCCCCCACCCAUGAACCAAGAUCAAAUGAGUGAACCUCAAUUCACGCAAGAAGAUUGGCCAACAUUGAGCCCAACUCCAAACAACCAAAAUGAAGGUUUUGAAGAGGAGAAUGAUGAGUACGAGGAGGAUGACAACGAAGUUGACCUCCAUGACAACAAUGUGGGUGAUCUCGACCAAUAUCAUGUGCAAGAGACAAUGCACCAAUCCAUCCCUUUUUCCCAUGCAUAUGCAUCGGACUCGGAUGACGAUGGUCCUGAUGAAGAAGUUGAUGAGGAGGGGUUCACACCGAAGGAGGCCGAAGCAUUCAAGAAGGUAUUCGGGCGGGAUCACAAGACACCAUUGUUCAAGGAUCUUAGUCUCGCGGAUGAAGCCGUUCUGGAUGGUGGAAAAUGCAUAUCUCUUGGAGCUAGGCCAAGUUCUCACCGUGAUUUGGAAGACGGCAAGAACGGGAUAUAUCCCGGUUGUGAGUUUCAAUCCUUCUUGGAAUUGAAGAUGUGGCUCGACAACUACUCGGUUACACAUUAUCGUCCACAUAAAGUGGCCAACUCGGACGUGAAUGUGCGUUACACGGUCAAAUGUGAAGUGCCAACAUGUCCAUGGAUUGUGCGUGCAAGGCCAUGGAAAGGAGGUCCCACUUGGCGCAUAGUGAGUUGUCUACCAACUCACAUGUGCCGGCACAAGAAUGCGGAUGGCAAGCUUGUGUACCAACAACACAAACAACUCACGUCCGAGUUCAUUGCUUACAGGCUGUCCAACCAAAUAUCCACACUUCCAACAAUGAGCAUUAAGAGUGUCAUUGACCUUGUGAAAGCCAUCUUUCAUUACAAGGUGAAGUAUGGCAAGGCAUGGAAGGCGAAGCAAGCCGCAUUCAAGAUGUUGUAUGGCAAUUGGGAGGAAGCAUACAACCGACUCCCUAGGUUGUUGUUAGCUAUGGCCGCCACAAACCCAGGCAUGGUUCACGUGGUUGAGCCUCAUGGGCACCAAACAUUGAUUCAUAACGGGAGGACCGUCUGA
rnacentral:rRNA from 1 species